CGCCAGCCUGACGGAGCCAGACCGCGUGGGGGAGGAAGGCCCUUGGGUUGUAAACCCCUUUUCUCAGGGAAGAAACCUGACGGUACCUGAGGAAAAAGCCUCGGCUAACUCCGUGCCAGCAGCCGCGGUAAUACGGAGGAGGCAAGCGUUAUCCGGAAUCAUUGGGCGUAAAGCGCUCGUAGGCGGCUGUUCAAGUCUGCUGUCAAAGACCGAGGCUCAACCUCGGGUCGGCAGUGGAAACUGGUGGGCUAGAGGGCGACAGGGGUAGAGGGAAUUCCCAGUGUAGCGGUGAAAUGUGUAGAGAUUGGGAAGAACACCGGUGGCGAAAGCGCUCUACUGGGUCGCACCUGACCCUCAGGGACGAAAGCUAAGGUAGCG
rnacentral:rRNA from 1 species